ensembl:lncRNA
UUUUUUUUUACAGAUCUUUAUGCAAUGCAUUCUGGUAUUUUUGGUGAAGGAUACAUGUGAUGCCUCUUUUAUAUGUAUAGGCCUAUAUAUAAAAUAUAUAAAAGGCAUUAUGGGAUAUUUCUUUGGAUUGUUCUCUAAACUCUCUGAAAGUAGUUGAUAUUAAUAUUUAAUAAAAGUUAUAAAAAAGCCCAGCUACAACCCCAGCUAACAGAAAACUUUUUCUAAUGUUUUUUAAAAGUUAUAUAAAUGUUGUAACAAAACGUUCUUAAAGUAAUAUUUAUGGAACGUUGAGAGAAAACGUUCUUAGAACAUGAUGUUAUGUGUACUUAAUGAACGUUCUGAUAAUGCUGAAUGUUCGCAUAACGUUUUAUUUUGAGUGAAAAUAAAGUUAGUAGAAUGUUGUAAGAAACGUUACGAUCACGACGAGAAAACAAACUAGACAUUUCAACAAUUUAGAAACAUUCCGCAACAAUGUUCCCACAAUGUUUUUAUAACCUAACUUUGUCACCUGGGGUGUUUUAGAAAAACGGUCCAUGAAUGCUGAAUUUUUGCGUUAAUGUUUCGAGAACGUUGUCAGAACGUUUCCCGUUAGCAGGAUUUUUCCGCUGUCUUUUGGCUGCUGUUUUGAGCAGAGAGUGUGUUCAUGUUCAUGCAGGUCUACACUCAUCUAAAAGACUUUCUCUGCACCUCCAGUGUGAUUUAUCUGCGUCCCGCAGCACUCAAACGAACCCCUUCUCGUCUUUCGUCCGGCUCCAGAGCGGCGUGUCGCGCUGCAGGUCCGGGCCGCUGCAUGAGGGCUGUCAGCGCCACGGGGUUGAGACAGGGUUAAAGCGUCCAGAUGGAGCUUGUUUGUGGAAGGAAGACAUCUGAAGACGCUUCAGCAGAGACACAAUCAACACACUGCACGGGUCAGUUUGGAGAGGUACUGGAGGAAAUUAUGACUUUAUAUAUGCAGAAUCUGCAAGAUGAUUAUAAAUACUGCAUUUUGUUUCUGUGAUUAUUUGCAUCUUCUGCACAUUUGAGCCCUUUCCAGCAGGGAUUGUAUGAUGUUGAUCCCAUAAUCAGACUGAAGACACUCAAACACAACUAUUACAACACUGGAAAAAUCUCAGUUGCUAAAUGUAAUGAAAUUGGCUCUACAUUUCAUGGCUCUAAAACCUAAAAAUGCUGAAAAUGGUUAAAUUAAUUUGGUGCGUAAUAAAAAAAAAACAUGUUGCCA